GACGAACGCUGGCGGCAUGCCUAACACAUGCAAGUCGAACGAGUGGCGGACUGGUGAGUAAUGUCUGGGAAACUGCCCGAUCUAGGGGGAUAACUCCUGUAAACGGUAGCUAAUACCGCAUACCAUCUGAUGUGCUCAGAUGGGAUUAGCUAGUAGGUGGGGUAACGGCUCACCUAGGCGACGAUCCCUAGCUGGGCUGAGAGGAUGACCAGCCACACUGGAACUGAGACACGGUCCAGACUCCUACGGGAGGCAGCAGUGGGGAAUAUUGCACAAUGGGCGCAAGCCUGAUGCAGCCAUGCCGCGUGUAUGAAGAAGGCCUUCGGGUUGUAAAGUACUGUCAGCGGGGAGGCGUUACUCGCAGAAGAAGCACCGGCUAACUCCGUGCCAGCAGCCGCGGUAAUAC
rnacentral:rRNA from 1 species